rnacentral:rRNA from 1 species
CGCGAACGGCUCAUUAUAACAGCUAUAAUUUACUUGAAUUUGACAACCCUACUUGGAUACCGGUGGUAAUUCUAGCGCUAAUACAUGCACCAAAGCUCCGACCGCGAGGGAAGAGCGCAUUUAUUAGAACAAAACCACACGGCUUCGGCCGUCCAAUGUUGACUCAGAAUAACUAAGCUGAUCACAUGGUCUUGCACCGGCGACGUUUCUUUCAAGUAUCUGCCUUAUCAACUUUCGAUGGUAGUGUAUCUGACUACCAUGGUGAUGACGGGUAACGGAGGAUAAGGGUUCGACUCCGGAGAAGGGGCCUGAGAAAUGGCCACUACGUCUAAGGAUGGCAGCAGGCGCGCAAAUUACCCACUCUCAGUACGAGGAGGUAGUGACGAGAAAUAACAAGACCGUUCUCACAAGAGGCCGGUCAUUGGAAUGGGUACAAUUUAAACCCUUUAACGAGUAUCUACGAGAGGGCAAGUCUGGUGCCAGCAGCCGCGGUAAUUCCAGCU